UACGUAGGGGGCUAGCGUUGUCCGGAUUUAUUGGGUUUAAAGGGUGCGUAGGCGGCCCAUUAAGUCAGCGGUGAAAGCCCGGGGCUCAACCCCGGAACCGCCGUUGAUACUGGUGGGCUUGAGUAUGGACGAGGUUGGCGGAAUUGAGGGUGUAGCGGUGAAAUGCUUAGAUACCCUCAAGAACACCGAUUGCGUAGGCAGCUAACUAGGCCAUAACCGACGCUGAGGCACGAAAGCGUGGGGAGCGAACAGG
rnacentral:rRNA from 1 species